GACGAACGCUGGCGGCGUGCUUAACACAUGCAAGUCGAACGGAAAGACCCUGCUUUUGUGGGGUGCUCGAGUGGCGAACGGGUGAGUAACACGUGAGUAACCUGCCCUUGACUUUGGGAUAACUUCAGGAAACUGGGGCUAAUACCGGAUAGGAGCUCCUGCUGCAUGGUGGGGGUUGGAAAGUUUCGGCGGUUGGGGAUGGACUCGCGGCUUAUGAGCUUGUUGGUGGGGUAGUGGCUUACCAAGGCUUUGACGGGUAGCCGGCCUGAGAGGGUGACCGGCCACAUUGGGACUGGGAUACGGCCCAGAGUCCUACGGGAGGCAGCAGUGGGGAAUAUUGCACAAUGGGCGGAGUCCGGAUGCAGCAACGCCGGGUGCGGGAGGACGGCCUUCGGGUAGUAAACCGCUUGCGCCUGUGACGAAGCGUGAUGGAGGGUACUGGGUAAAGAAGCACGGGUUAAUUAGUU
rnacentral:rRNA from 1 species